GAAAGGAAUAAAAGUUUUUUCUGUAAUUUCCCGAGUAAUGCUGGUCACGUGGAAACCGGCAUGAAUUAAGGAGGACCACCUCCUAAGGCUAAAUACUUUUGGUAACCGAUAGUGAACAAGUAGCGUGAGUGAACGAUGAAAAGAACCCCUUUUAGGGGAGUGAAAUAGAACCUGAAACCAUGUACUUACAAGCGGUGGAAGCACAAUAUUAAUUGAAAUUUAUUUCUUUUAAUUCGUGUAACCGCGUGCCUUUUGUAUAAUGAACCGGCGAGUUGUUGUUUGUUGCAGGUUAAGCCUAUAAUGGGUGAAGCCAAAGCGAAAGCGAGUGCUAACUGCGCGAAUAAAUGUAGCAGAUAGCAGACCCGAAACCGAGUGAUCUACCCUUGGUCAGGAUGAAGUUCCGGUAAAACGGAAUGGAGGUCCGAACGCAUUUACGUUGAAAAGUGAUGCGAUGAACUGAGGGGAGGAGUAAAAGUCUAAUCAAACUCGGAGAUAGCUGGUUCUCCCCGAAAUAGCUUUAGGGCUAGCCUUAUGCAAUCGUGUAGUAGGGGUAGAGAUACUGAUUGAGUAUUGGGGCCCACCAGGCUACCGAGCACAAUCAAACUCCGAAUACUACUGCAUUUGACAUAGGAGUCAGACUAUGGGGGAUAAGCUCCGUAGUCGAGAGGGAAACAGCCCAGACCAUUAGUUAAGGUCCCUAAAAUGAGCUAAGUGAAAAAGGAAGUGAAAGUGCUAAGACAGCUAGGAUGUUGGCUUAGAAGCAGCAAUCAUUUAAAAAGUGCGUAAUAGCUUACUAGCCGAGUACUUUUGUGCCGAAAAUUAGCGGGACUAAAGCUCAUUACCGAAACUAUGGAUCCUAAUCUUUUAGGAUGGUAGGGGAGCGUUCUAUGAUAGGUUGAAGCCUUACAAAAAUGAGAGGUGGACGAAAUAGAAGUGAGAAUGCCGGUAUAAGUAGCGAUAAUAUAAGUGAGAAUCUUAUUCGCCGAAAGCCUAAGGUUUCCUGGGGAAGGCAAAUCCGCCCAGGGUUAGCCGGUACCUAAGUCGAGGUCGAAAGGCGUAGACGAUGGACAACAGGUUAAUAUUCCUGUGCUGCUAUUUAACGUUUGAGCUUGGGAGGACGUGGACACAACGAUUAGCAAACCCAGUAGACAUGGUUUGUUCAAGCUGGAGGCACCGCUCUAGGAAAAUCCGGAGCAAUAAGGUGUCGAAAGCGAGUACGUUGGCUCUUGGCCUAGAAGUAAUCUGAGUGUCUUCCAAGAAAAGUCUCGUUAGCGAGUUAACAUGGCAACCGUACUAAAACUGACACAGGUAGGCAAGGAGAGAAUCCUAAGGCGCUCGAGAGAACCCUCGUUAAGGAAUUCGGCAAACAUACUCCGUAACUUCGGGAUAAGGAGUGCCUUUUUAACUUCGGUUAAAAAGGUCGCAGUGAAAAAGGUCCGGGCGACUGUUUACUAAAAACACAGGUCUCUGCUAAAAUGUAUAAUUGAUGUAUAGAGACUGACGCGUGCUCGAUGCCAGAAAGUUAAGGGGAUAGGUUAUUUCCUGAGCAAUCAGGAGAGAAGCUUGGAACUGAAGCUCUGGUGAAUGGCGGCUCUAACUAUGAGAGUCCUAAGGUAGCGAAGUUCCUUGUCGGGUAAUUUCCGACGCGCAUGAAUCGCGUAACGACCUGGACACUGUCUCAACGAGGGACUCGGCGAAAUUGUAGUUGUGGUGAAGAUGCCACAUACCCGCGGAAAGACGGAAAGACCCCGUGAACCUUUACUGUAGCUUAUUAUUGGAUUUUGGCGCAGUAUGUGUAGGAUAGGUGGGAGACGAGGAAGUUUCGACGUAAGUUGGAAUGGAGUCAAUGGUGAAAUACCACUCUUACUUUGUUAAAAUUCUAAAGGAAUACCGUGAAUCCGGGUUCUUGACAGUGGUAAGUGGGCAGUUUGACUGGGGCGGUCUCCUCCAAAAAAGUAACGGAGGAGUCCAAAGGCUCCCUCAAUGCGGUUGGCAACCGCAUGUAGAGUGUAAAGGCAUAAGGGAGCUUAACUGCGAGACCCAUAAGUCGAGCAGGUGUGAAAGCAGGGCUUAGUGAUCCGGCGGUUUCUGAGUGGAAAGGCCGUCGCUCAACAGAUAAAAGGUACUCCGGGGAUAACAGGCUGAUCUC
rnacentral:rRNA from 1 species